rnacentral:rRNA from 1 species
UGAACGCUGGCGGCGUGCUUAACACAUGCAAGUCGUACGAGAACGCUUCAGCUUGCUGAAGCUAGUAAAGUGGCGCACGGGUGAGUAACGCGUGGGUAAUCUACCUUCGAAUUGGGGAUAACGUUGCGAAAGUGACGCUAAUACCGAAUGAUAUCAUAGGGACUUUGGUCCUUUUGAUCAAAGAUGGCCUCUCCUUGGAAGCUAUUGUUUGAAGAUGAGCCCGCGUCCCAUUAGCUUGUUGGUGGGGUAAUGGCCUACCAAGGCAGCGAUGGGUAGCUGGUCUGAGAGGAUGAUCAGCCACACUGGAACUGACACACGGUCCAGACUCCUACGGGAGGCAGCAGUGAGGAAUUUUGCGCAAUGGGGGAAACCCUGACGCAGCAACGCCGCGUGAGUGAUGAAGGCUUUCGGGUCGUAAAGCUCUGUCAAGUGGGAAGAACUCCCGUGAGGUUAAUACCCUCAUGGUUUGACGGUACCACUGAAGGAAGCACCGGCUAACUCC